rnacentral:lncRNA from 1 species
AUCUUGUCCUGAAGCUCAGAUUCUGAGUUCACUUUUAAACCUGUGCAGAAACCGUCCCGGACCCGCUGGAGCUGAGGAGCUCAGACGUCUCCACCGACGGCUUCAGGGUGAACUGGAGACACGGGGCGCCCGACGUGGUUCUGUACAGACUGACCUGGACCUCCACCGACGGGGGAGAGGGCGACGAGGUCCUGGUGAAGGGGAACAUCAACACGUACCUCCUCAAAGGUCUGGCUCCAGGCAGCGAGUACGAGGUUCUACUCGCCGCCAUCUACGCCAACGAAGUGGAGAGCGACGAGGUCAUCCUGCUGGAGACCACGGCCAAAAGGACGACGACCAUCGCCACCACCUCCACCUCCA